rnacentral:rRNA from 1 species
AUAAAUUAAAUGGCCGCAGUAUAUUGACUGUGCAAAGGUAGCAUAAUCAAUUGUUUACUAAUUAUAGACUGGAAUGAAAGGUCGGACUUGAAAUUAAUUGUCUUAAUAUUAUUUUGAAUUUUGGGUUUUUAUGAAGAUUUAAAGAUGAAUCUAUUAGACGAGAAGACCCUAUUGAGCUUUAUAUAAUAGCUAUAUUAAUUAGUAGAUAAGAAAAUAGUAAAUAUAUUUUACUGGGGCGGUGGAGUACUAAUUAUAACAGUAUUAUAAUAUUAUAAUUAAUAUGUGGUUUAUUAGGACCCAAUAAUAUUGAUUAAUAGACUAAGUUACUGUAGGGAUAACAGCGUAAUUUUAUUUUGAAGUUCAUAUUUAUGAUAAAGAUUGCGACCUCGAUGUUGGUUUAGGGUUCCUUUAAAAAAUUGGCGCAGUAGCUAUAAAAGGUAGUCUGUUCGACUAUAAAAUUCCUAUA